rnacentral:rRNA from 1 species
UACGAAGGGGGCGAGCGUUGUUCGGAAUCACUGGGCGUAAAGGGCGCGUAGGCGGCCCUCUUUGUCGCGUGUGAAAGCCCCGGGCUCAACCUGGGAACGGCGCGCGAAACGGGGGGGCUGGAGUUCGGGAGAGGAGAGUGGAAUUCCCAGUGUAGAGGUGAAAUUCGUAGAUAUUGGGAAGAACACCGGUGGCGAAGGCGGCUCUCUGGACCGAGACUGACGCUGAGGUGCGAAAGCGUGGGGAGCAAACAGG